rnacentral:rRNA from 1 species
AGUGAACGCUGGCGGUAGGCCUAACACAUGCAAGUCGAACGGCAGCACAGGAGAGCUUGCUCUCUGGGUGGCGAGUGGCGGACGGGUGAGGAAUACAUCGGAAUCUACUCUGUCGUGGGGGAUAACGUAGGGAAACUUACGCUAAUACCGCAUACGACCUACGGGUGAAAGCAGGGGAUCUUCGGACCUUGCGCGAUCGAAUGAGCCGAUGUCGGAUUAGCCAGUUGGCGGGGUAAAGGCCCACCAAGGCGACGAUCCGUAGCUGGUCUGAGAGGAUGAUCAGCCACACUGGAACUGAGACACGGUCCAGACUCCUACGGGAGGCAGCAGUGGGGAAUAUUGGACAAUGGGCGCAAGCCUGAUCCAGCCAUACCGCGUGGGUGAAGAAGGCCUUCGGGUUGUAAAGCCCUUUUGUUGGGAAAGAAAUCCAGCUGGCUAAUACCCGGUUGGGAUGACGGUACCCAAAGAAUAAGCACCGGCUAACUUCGUGCCAGCAGCCGCGGUAA